UACAGAGGUCCCAAGCGUUGUUCGGAUUCACUGGGCGUAAAGGGUGCGUAGGCGGUCGGGUAAGUCUGAUGUGAAAUCUCACAGCUUAACUCCGAAACUGCAUUCGAUACUGCCGUGCUUGAGGACUGGAGAGGAGACUGGAAUUUACGGUGUAGCGGUGAAAUGCGUAGAUAUCGUAAGGAAGACCAGUGGCGAAGGCGGGUCUCUGGACAGUUCCUGACGCUGAGGCACGAAGGUCAGGGGAGCAAACGGG
rnacentral:rRNA from 1 species